rnacentral:rRNA from 1 species
GACGAACGCUGGCGGCGUGCUUAACACAUGCAAGUCGAACGAAGUGGCGAACGGGUGAGUAACGCGUAAUCAACCUGCCCUUCAGAGGGGGAUAACAGUUGGAAACGACUGCUAAUACCGCAUACUGAAGGAGGGGUUUGCGUCGGAUUAGCUAGUUGGGGGGGUAACGGCCCACCAAGGCGAUGAUCAGUAGCCGGUCUGAGAGGAUGGACGGCCAAAUUGGGAAUGAGGCACGGCCCAGACUCCUACGGGAGGCAGCAGGGGGGAAUCAUCCGAAAUGGACGGAAGGCUGACGGAGCAACGCCGCGGGAGUGAUGACGGCCGUCGGGUUGUAAAGCUCUGUUAAUCGGGACGCGGUACCGGAAUAGAAAGCCACGGCUAACUACGUGCCAGCCGCCGCGGUAAUAC